AAGCCUACAAGAAGAUCAUCGAUAUCUACGAUGACCUCAUCCUUCAGAGCUUCAAGCAGUUCGAUUUCGUCUAAAGGGAUCCAUACUCGAAGGGAAUUGAUCCUGAUGCAUUGAAAACUUCUCUAGCUGCUGCAUGUGGAGCGUUAACAUCCAAUAAGAAGCUAGAAGAAUCAAGACAUGAGAAGCCAUGUGAAACAGAACCAGACCAACUUGCUGAGGAUGUUAAGUCGGCUCC